UUUUCUAGAUCUUUCAAUAUGGCAAAAUUUUAUGCUUUUUAGAUAUGCCUACCACAUAAGAUUUAUUGUAUGUUACAAGUUUUAAACAUUUCAUACUUUUAGCACAUGUUCUUUCAAAUAGUUGACUUUGUUAUUUGUCAUUAAGUGAUGCCAUGUGUUGUCUUGAUUGGACUUUUCUCAUUCUAAUAUUGUGUUUGAUGAUUUUCACAAUUAUUAGAUUUUUUUAACCUUAUGUUAUGUGCCGAGUUACCAAUCAAUGCCAUGUAUCAUGUUGACUUUAGUUUCCAUGUGGCAUCUUGUCAAGUUGGAUUUAUCAUGUGUAUAUAUAUUAAUUAUUCUCAUAUUUUUUAUGUGUUCUGAUGUAAUUAUC
rnacentral:lncRNA from 1 species